CUGCACAAUGACGGGAAUUUUGUAGAAAUGUGGAGGACCAGGGUGCAUCUGAUCAACGUGCAGAAAUAAAUGCUGUGAUCCUGUAGAACGUAUAAACGUGCACAAAGUGACCAUGAAGAACGGUGUAACGUGAUCCCAUAGAGCGCGAGUCUGUAUAACGUGAUGUGUUGAAAAUGAUCGUACCCGUGCACGACAUGUCUGUGUAGACGUACGCGGUAUAUACUGAGAUCGGGUAGACGGUAAUGUCUACCUGAGGUGUGAUGAAUGGAACAGGGUAAAAGAAACCGUUUAACGGGACUGAUGGAACAGCGACUGAAUGUGACAUAUUUCAGAAUAUCAGCUCAGAAUAAAAGUGAGCAUCAACAACUUCACGGCACGUUACGGGCGAAUCCGAGGUUAGAAAGCAACUACGCAAAAAUGUAGAAGACGACAGUAGAGAUUGUAGAGCGCGGGACUGUGCUUAUGCAGAAUGUAACGCACAGACUGUUUUUAAAGCGGUGGUGUGGAAUGUAAGUGUUACAGUGGAGAAUGUUAUUGUUCGUCAGUGUAGAGUGAAACUGAACGCAACAGCGGAGGAUGAGAGUGCAGGGUAUGAAUGUGUCGGAUCUAACUGCGUAACGUGAGUGUGUAGAAUACACGUGUGUAGGAUCUAACUGUGUAACGUGAGUGCGUAGGAUGUAGCUGUGUAACGUGAGUGCGUAGGAUCUAACGGUGUAACGUGAGUGCAUAGGAUCUAACGGUGUAACGUGAGUGCGUAGGAUCUAACGGUGUAACGUGCGUGCGUAGGAUGUAGCUGUGUAACGUGAGUGCGUAGGAUCUAACUGUGUAACGUGAGCGCCUAGUAUCUAACUGUGUAACGUGAGCGCGUAGGAUCUAACGGUGUAACGUGAGCGCGUAGGAUCUAACGGUGUAACGUGAGCGCGUAGGAUGUAGCCGUGUAACGUGAGUGCAUAGGAUCUAACCGUGUAACGUGAGUGCGUAGGAUCUAACCGUGUAACGUGAGUGCGUAGGAUCUAACUGUAACGUGAGUGCGUAGGAUCUAACUGUAACGUGAGUGCGUAGGAUCUAACUGUGUAAUGUGAGUGCGUAGGAUCUAACUGUGUAACGUGAGUGCGUAGGAUCUAACUGUGUAACGUGAGUGCGUAGGAUCUAACUGUGUAACGUGAGUGUGUAGGAUCUAACUGUGUAAUGUGAGUGUAGGAUCUAACUGUAACGUGAGUGCGUAGGAUCUAACCGUGUAACGUGAGUGUAGGAUCUAACUGUAACGUGAGUGCGUAGGAUCUAACUGUGUAACAUGAGUGCGUAGGAUGUAGCUGUGUAACGUGAGUGUGUAGUAUCUAACUGUGUAACGUGAGUGUAGGAUCUAACGGUGUAACGUGAGUGCGUAGGAUCUAACGGUGUAAACGUGAGUGCCUAGUAUCUAACCGUGUAACGUGAGUGCGUAGGAUGUAGCUGUGUAACGUGAGUGCGUAGGAUCUAACUGUGUAACGUGAGUGCGUAGGAUCUAACUGUGUAACGUGAGUGCGUAGUAUCUAACUGUGUAACGUGAGUGUAGCAUCUAACUGUGUAACGUGAGUGCGUAGUAUCUAACUGUGUAACGUGAGUGUAGGAUCUAACUGUGUAACGUGAGUGUGUAGGAUCUAACUGUGUACGUGAGUGCAUAGGAUGUAGCUGUGUAACGUGAGUGCGUAGGAUCUAACUGUAACGUGAGUGUAGGAUCUAACUGUGUAACGUGAGUGCAUAGGAUGUAGCUGUGUAACGUGAGUGCGUAGGAUCUAACUGUAACGUGAGUGUAGGAUCUAACUGUGUAACGUGAGUGUGUAGGACCCGAGUGUGUAGGACCCGAGUGUGUGAAUUUGAAGAAUGAGUACAAUGAGUGUGUAUGAUGUCACUGUAUGGAAUGUGAGUGUGUAAAAUCUAACUGUAAGAUGUGAGUGUGUAGAAUACUUUAGGAGUGUGUAGAUGUGAGUGUGGAAUGGAAGUGUGUGUGUAAAAUAUGAAUGUGUAGGAUGUGUGUGUAGAACCUUACUGUGUAAUAAGUGUGUGUGUGUGUGUGUGUGAUAUAUGUGUGUAGAAUGAGUGAGCUCUAAGAUUGUGUAAGAAGAUGUGAGUGUAGAAUGGUGUGUGUGUGUGUGUGUGUGAUAUAUGUGUGUAGAAUGAGUGAGCUCUAAGAUUGUGUAAGAAGAUGUGAGUGUAGAAUGGUGUGUGUGUGUGUGUGUGUGAGUGAGUGAGUGAGCGCGCGCGCUGUGGCCCCGCCCUCCAUUAAAAGCUACGCUGUCUUUCCUCCCUAGCAGCGCGCUUUAUUAUUCCCCUCACACUGAACACAUUUUCAGCUUUAUUAGCCUGAACUUCAGUUUAUCAAGUUAAUGUGAUUUCAGAAAACUCACCUCACCGCCCUUUUCUCCACACACUGUAGAUCUUUAUUAGCUGCACUGAAGAGAGGGGGUUUGUGAAGUUGGUAUCCAGCACUCGAUGUCCCGGCCCCGGACUCCUCCUCACCCAGAGUGCCGAGGUUGCGCUGUACACGGCCCGCUCGGAACCUGCUUCAAAAUUACAUGUCCAAACAAGUCCCAAAGUGCCCUGUUUUUCGUCUUAUUUCCUCCUCUCUUCCACCAGGAUCCGUUUUCGUGCUCUCCGCAACGCCGGGUGCCUGUAUCCCGCGUUUUACUCGCUGUAUCCGGGCGCUGUCGUGCCGCCUCUCCUAGUCCGCCAUGUUGCGCCUGGCCGAUUG
ensembl:lncRNA